CAACAAAACCCAACUACCAAUAUAAGAAAAAACAAACCAAUUUAAAAAGCAGAAUAAGCGAAAUGCUUUGUUACCAUCAUUCCAGAGGUAUGUGAUGCUAUAUGGAAAACUUUAAAAGAUAUUCAUAUGUCAGUUCCAACUAGAGAUCAUUGGGAGAAGAUUGCACAAAAAUAUUUUGACCUGGCUCAUUAGAUGGUAAGCACUUUAUAUCAAAAGUUAGAAAAACCAAUAUCAAACACCUUAAAAAACUAUGAAACCUUAUCCUAUGAAAAAUACCAGUCCAGAAGCAAAACAUUAUAAUUAAGAUUCCUAGGUAUAUGAGAAUUUAUUGUUAUUCCUAUCUAAAUAAAAUAAUAUAUAUAUA